GAUGAACGCUGGCGGCGUGCCUAAUACAUGCAAGUCGAGCGAACAGAUGAGGAGCUUGCUCCUCUGACGUUAGCGGCGGACGGGUGAGUAACACGUGGAUAACCUACCUAUAAGACUGGGAUAACUUCGGGAAACCGGAGCUAAUACCGGAUAAUAUAUUGAACCGCAUGGUUCAAUAGUGAAAGACGGUUUUGCUGUCACUUAUAGAUGGAUCCGCGCCGCAUUAGCUAGUUGGUAAGGUAACGGCUUACCAAGGCAACGAUGCGUAGCCGACCUGAGAGGGUGAUCGGCCACACUGGAACUGCGCCACGGUCCAGACUCCUACGGGAGGCAGCAGUAGGGAAUCUUCCGCAAUGGGCGAAAGCCUGACGGAGCAACGCCGCGUGAGUGAUGAAGGUCUUCGGAUCGUAAAACUCUGUUAUUAGGGAAGAACAAAUGUGUAAGUAACUAUGCACGUCUUGACGGUACCUAAUCAGAAAGCCACGGCUAACUACGUG
rnacentral:rRNA from 1 species